UAGCUGUAACGAAACGUUUCAAGAUGUUUUACAUUAACUUUUAGCGAUGAAAGAAAACAACAUUUGCAUAUCUGUUACGCAAUGUAUAUAGAUGUAAAUUUUGGUUCUAAAUUUACACCGUCAAUGUCACUUGAUUUUCUGUACCAUUCAUUUAUCUCUGUCAAAUUGUGAAUCAAUUUUAGUAAGGAAAAUCCAGGGAUUGUUGAAAGGAACGGUGAUAGAAUUUAUCAACGAUCAGGGAUCAGUUUUCUCUUUCUUCUUGAGGGAUGAUUGCCACUCGAGACUUAGGGCUCGGGGUUUCGUAGACAUAAGCACGGCCUUGAAUUGACAGCUAAUUGUCAGUGAUGACCAUACAUCAAAGGCCUAGACGAUCGGAGGUCACGUGAUCUUCCGUUUCAUAUGGGAUGAAUGAGCUUAUUCCCAUUAAAGAACAGGCCACAGUCGGCCAGUGUACACACAAACGCAUGCACUUACUACCUUUCGCAGUACUCAACGGUCAAUUGAACUUGUUGUAAGUGCUUUCUUCUGUUCAUCGGUGCAAAUCACACGAUCGAUCAUCAACCGCAUCCUGAGCUAGGAUACUGUCUGUGGAAUAGGAUAGAUCAAAAAUUCAAUGCCUAGAAAUACAUUAUUAAAUUAACCAAAGAUUUAUGAACAAGAUUUCUUUCACAAAUCAUUAAAAGAAAAAGCAAAGGCUACGUGAAAUGAAAUUUAGAAACAUAUUCAAAAUUUCUAUCAAGUUUAACAGCUAAAAGCGAAAUAGGGAGAUUCGCCAUUCGAAAUUUACUCCUGAUAUCAGGAUCACCGAAUAUACGAAGAGCUGGCACGAUUUCUAGGAAGGCAGCGUAGGGGAAAGUAUCGGGAUCACAGAAUAUGCGAAGAAGUGGUCCAAUUUUGAGAAAGGCAGAGUAGGGGAAUUUACGGUUCGAAAUUUAUUCCUGGUAUCAGGAUUAAAGAAUAUGCGAAGAGGUGGCCCGAUCUUUAGAAAGGUAGAGUAAGGGAAUUUACGGUUCGAAAAGAAUUUAUGUCUGCAUGCAAACCUAAUCUCGUCUUGGGGUGUCUGAGACCCCUUAAAUCAUGACCUCUCGAAAACAAAGGCAUAAUAAUGUUCAGUCUUUUGUAUCUGUAGACCCUGCUGAUAGCAGGAGAACAUGAAAGUGGUGGAGGUAUGUAUUUUUUGCCAUCACACCCUAAUACUUUUUUCACGUAGGAAUAAAUGGAGGAAUCGAUCUGUGCCACAAUAAAUAUGCAUUUUCGUUUGAAAAAAUGAUGCAAUUGUUAAUUGCACAUGCACUGUUCGUACUUAAAAAAAUCUAAGGGCCUACAGAUGUAACGCUCUUCGAGCCAUUUAUCUUUCUGCUUUGUAAUCUUUUCGUAAAUGCAUUAAUAACGGAGUUAUGACCUGAAACAAUUCCCAAACGGGGAAGUUUUGAGCCCCUUUUAUAGGGUGGACCGCGCAAUUCGGUCGGCGCUGCUAUACAAUCAGCGGGAAAAAUUAAAUUCAGUUUAGAAUUCUCGUUUGUAAUUUUAAUGCUGGAGCCAUUUCUGCGUCUAAUGUAAUGCUUAUUGUGAUAGUUAACGCAUCAUUUAAUAUUAAACGCGAGUGUAGCUACGGAUUAACGUGCUAAUCUUAUAAAGACAUUGCUAAUGAUGUUAGGCGUUAAACGGUAGCUUACGUGGCGGUCUUUUUUCACACAUCAAAGAGUCUUCACGCAGAUUGCGUCGCGUUGUUACGAUUAAUGCAUAAAUCUAGCCACUUAAAAAUGUAAAACUCAGCGGAUAAUUUUGUCUCGCUUUAAUUGACGUAUUUAUGACCGUUGGACGUUAUUUCAUAAUUCUUAUUUAAAUAAGAGUAUGGAUUAGAAGAGAUAAUAAACAACAUUGUAGGACAAUAAUAACAGAUUUACUUCGGUCUUAUUUGCGAAAGAUUGAAAUCACUUUGGUAUCUGACGGACUAUUGGAUUCAUUCCCAUUUUCGUCUAAUUACAAUGUACUGAAUAUAAAGAUAUAUAAACUUUUCACAUAAAAAUGAUUGAUAACAUAAUUAAGAUAGUGAUUUCGUACAUUUUCUAGGGCUUUUAAAUUAUAAAAUUCAGUUAUAACAUUAUUACAUGUGCGUAUGGCAAAAUAAUUACAUAACACUUAACACUAGAACAACCGGAGUUGGACGUACAGGAUAGAAAAUAAAUUAGAAUUACAUAAUUACUCUUCUUAAAAAACACCUUAAUCAUUUUUGUUAUUUAAUAUAAGAAAUCUGAAAUCACGUCGUUUCGACGGAUUUAGUUGUUCCAGUGUUAAAAUUCGAUAUAAUUUCCUAUGAAGUUGCCAGUUUU